CAGGGAGACAAACUGAUUGUGAUGUCUGAAUACUUUAUUUUCAGGCCAUGAUCCUGUCACUCUAGGUCGAUCGGUACCUCAACUGUGGAAGCGGAAUGGCAACAUGUCCGUCCAAGCAGGUUCAGUUCCUAAACUUUGUCUAGGUCACACCCCAACGAUUUUUGUUGAGGCGGUGUUGAAACUUGAGAGAUGAAAUGGUAGCGAUACUGAAUCAUCAAUCAGGUGAGACACAACUUUGACGCGAUCGCGAGGUCGAACUCCUGGGCCAUUAGCUCAGGUGGUUAGAGCGCACCCCUGAUAAGGGUGAGGUCCCUGGUUCAAGUCCAGGAUGGCCCAUUCGUGUUUGGGGGUUUAGCUCAGUUGGUAGAGCGCCUGCUUUGCAAGCAGGAUGUCAGCGGUUCGAGUCCGCUAACCUCCAUUCCACACUGACGAGCGCCCUCACGGAAGCAAAGGAGAGAUUUCUUUGGUGUGAUCCUGACGUCUUGGUGACGAUUCCAGCCUGUUUUCAUUCCCUGAGUGGUUGAAAGCAUGCUGGAUUCCCUGUCCGCAAGGAUGGGCAUUCAGCAAGAACCUUGACAACUGCAUAGGAAAAGUCUGGAAAAGAAAGCAUCUCAUAGACGCUGACUUUCCGGUUCUCUCUGGUCGUGGCCUCGGCUGCGGCAUCCCAGCGAAAGCGAAGGGAAGAUUGAGGUGCAAGCCUCAAUAUGAGAGAAACAGGAAAGCCAGUGAUUCUUGAGUUAGAGCCGAGUACAGCUCGUGUCUUCUGUCUGGCAUGGCCACAAGCCACCAAGCAGGAGUUUGAUUCUGGCUGUCUGAGAUCUCUUGAUUGAGAGCUUAGACACCAGAAGAAUAGCCUCAACAA
rnacentral:tRNA from 1 species